rnacentral:lncRNA from 1 species
GUGGGGGUUUCCCCACUGAGUUCUUUCAUUUGGAGGUCCCACCGAGAUCUGCGUGACACCCAGGAACCCCGAAGGACCCCUUGGAGGUGCGUUUGUUUGUGUGAGUCUUGUUAUGUUGUCUGUUGUCUAAGUGUCUAAGUGUGGCACUGCUGAAUUUGUGUCUUAGUUUUUCAGUUCUGAGAUUGUGGGUUUGAGCCCCACCUGUGUUACCAGUUCUGGUAUUCUGUAUUCUGGCAGCUGCCACUGCGGACCGUAAGGACCCUAGUGGCUGUGGGAAGACGACGGUCUAUUUCCCCACAGGCUGCACCCUUGGAAGACAUUCCGAGGGAGACCCUGGAGUGCCCAGGGUACGGAACAGUCAGGAGGACCUGGCUGUUGUCUGGCAGAGUGAAGAAGAGUGAGUGCUCUUCCUGCCAGAGGAGUGGAGCGGAAUCCCACUCCAUCAGAGGUAGCGUUUGGCUGGUUGUGUAAGUCCAGACGCAGACGAGUGUGCUUGGAUGUCUUAGUGUUUUCCGUCUCUGUCAUUGUGUUGUGUUUACUCUUAUUCUUCACUAUGGGACAGACCGUGUCUACUCCUUUAUCUUUGACUAAGGACCAUUGGACGGACGUUAGGGCUAGAGGACAAAAUUUGUCAGUAAAAGUGAAGAAAAAGCCAUGGAUGACUUUCUGUUCCUCAGAAUGGCCUGUUUUUGGAGUAGGUUGGCCAGCAGAAGGAACUUUUUACUUACCCACCAUAAGGGCUGUGAAGGCCAUUGUUUUUCAGGAAGGACCAGGGUCGCAUCCAGACCAACAACCGUACAUCAUGGUAUGGGAGGACUUGGCACGCUACCCACCCCCGUGGGUUCGCCCAUUCCUCCCGCCUCUCCGCCCUGGCACCAAGAUUCUAGCCAUCCAAGAAAAUGGUGAGAAAGAGAAACCGAAACCACCGCUCGGGAGAGAUGAUGAUCGCAGCACACCAGUGACGAAACCCCCCAAGAUCUAUUCAGAGAUUGAAGAACCCCCUGAGUGGCCCGAUACCCCUCAACCCCCACCUUAUGCUCCCCAGCCCCAACCUUCAGCUCCCUCGGGACCCCUGCCUCAGGCCCCGGCCGGAGGAGGGGGUCCCUCCACAGGAACAAGGAGCCGGCGAGGAGUCACCCCUGAGGGGCCUGCGGAUUCAACUGUGGCGCUCCCCCUCAGGGCUAUUGGGGCUCCCCCUGCCGAUCCAAAUAGUCUACAGCCCCUACAGUAUUGGCCUUUUUCCUCUUCUGACCUUUACAACUGGAAAGCUCAUCACCCCCCUUUUUCAGAAAACCCUGCAGGACUCACUGGGUUGGUUGAAUCAUUAAUGUAUUCACACCAGCCGACCUGGGAUGACUGCCAGCAGCUUCUGCAGACUCUAUUCACAACCGAGGAGAGAGAGAGGAUUCUCCUCGAGGCUCGGAAAAAUGUCCGAGACGAGGCUGGGCGCCCUGUCCAAACUCCAGCUGAGAUAGAUGAAGGAUUUCCGCUAACCCGGCCCCGAUGGGAUUAUAAUACGGCAUCAGGUAGGGAACGACUGUCCAAUUAUCGCCGGGUCCUAGUGGCGGGUCUCAGAGGUGCUGCCCGGCAGCCCACGAAUCUGGCCAAGGUAAGAGAGGUUAUGCAGGGAGCGACUGAGCCCCCCUCAGUCUUCCUUGAAAGGCUCAUGGAGGCUUAUAGGAGAUAUACCCCAUUCGACCCCACGUCUGAGGGUCAAAGGGCCUCAGUAAUUAUGGCCUUCAUUGGCCAGUCAGCUCCUGACAUUAGGAAGAAGUUACAGCGAAUUGAGGGCUUGCAGGAUUACACCAUAAGGGAUGUAGUUAGAGAGGCAGAGAAAGUGUAUCAUAGGAGAGAAACAGAAG